rnacentral:rRNA from 1 species
UACGAAGGGGGCUAGCGUUGCUCGGAAUCACUGGGCGUAAAGCGCACGUAGGCGGUCUUUUAAGUCGGUGGUGAAAUCCUGGAGCUCAACUCCAGAACUGCCUUCGAUACUGGAAGACUUGAGUCCGGGAGAGGUGAGUGGAACUGCGAGUGUAGAGGUGAAAUUCGUAGAUAUUCGCAAGAACACCAGUGGCGAAGGCGGCUCACUGGCCCGGUACUGACGCUGAGGUGCGAAAGCGUGGGGAGCAAACAGG